CGCUGGCGGCGUGGAUUAGGCAUGCAAGUCGAACGAGAAAGUCUCCGCAAGGGGGCAAGUAAAGUGGCGAACUGGUUAGUAACAGGUGGGAAACGUGCCUCGAAAACGGGGAUAACCGGUGGAAACACCAGCUAAUACCCGAUGUGACCUUGGGAGCUGCGGCCCCCUUGGUUAAAGGUACUGCAUUCAUGUAGUGUCGAUUCGAGAUCGUCCCGCCCCCGAUUAGCUAGUUGGUGAGGUAACGGCUCACCAAGGCGAUGAUCGGUAGCUGGUCUGAGAGGAUGGUCAGCAACACUGGGACUGAGAUACGGCCCAGACUCCUACGGGAGGCAGCAGUCUAGAGGCUUCGGCAAUGGGGGAAACCCUGACCGAGCGACGCCGCGUGUGUGAUGAAGGCCUUCGGGUCGUAAAGCACUGUCAGCAGGGAAGAAGGCCCGGGUGGAGAACCCUCCCGGGAUUGACGGUACCUGCAGAGGAAGCCCCGGCUAACUCCGUGCCAGCAGCCGCGGUAAUACGGAGGGGGCAAGCGUUAUUCGGAAUUAUUGGGCGUAAAGAGUUCGUAGGCGGAGCGCUAAGUCCGGUGUAAAAGUGCCUGGCUCAACCAGGCAAAGCCGUCGGAUACUGGCGCUCUUGAGUCAGGCAGAGGUUGGUGGAAUUCCAGGUGUAGCGGUGGAAUGCUUAGAUAUCUGGAAGAACACCGGUGGCGAGGGCGGCCAACUGGGCCUGUACUGACGCUGAGGAACGAAAGCCAGGGGAGCAAACGGGAUUAGAUACCCCGGUAGUCCUGGCUGUAAACGAUGGACACCAGGUGUGGGAGGUAUCGACCCCUUCCGCGCCACACCUAACGGAGUAAGUGUCCCGCCUGGGGAGUACGGCC
rnacentral:rRNA from 1 species